rnacentral:rRNA from 1 species
GAUGAACGCUAGCGAUAGGCUUAACACAUGCAAGUCGAGGGGCAGCAUGGUCUUAGCUUGCUAAGACUGAUGGCGACCGGCGCACGGGUGCGUAACGCGUAUGCAACUUGCCUCACAGAGGGGGAUAACCCGUCGAAAGACGGACUAAUACCGCGUACACUCUAUGUUGGGCAUCCAAUGUAGAGGAAAUGAAAUUCGCUGUGAGAUAGGCAUGCGUCCCAUUAGCUAGUUGGUGAGGUAACGGCCCACCAAGGCGACGAUGGGUAGGGGAACUGAGAGGUUGAACCCCCAGACUGGAACUGAGACACGGACCAGACUCGUACGGGGGGGAGCAGUGAGGAAUAUUAGUCAAGGGGCGAGGGCCUGAACCAGCCAAGUCGCGUGAAGGAUGACUGUCUUAUGGAUUGUAAACUUCUUUUAAACGGGAAUAACAAGAGCCACGUGUGGCUCCCUGCAUGUACCGUAUGAAUAAGCAUCGGCUAACUCCGUG